CUUACACAUGCAAGUCGAACGGCAGCGGACCUUCGGGUGCCGGCGAGUGGCGAACGGGUGAGUAAUGUAUCGGAACGUACCUUUCAGUGGGGGAUAACGUAGCGAAAGUUACGCUAAUACCGCAUAUUCUGUGAGCAGGAGAGCAGGGGAUCGCAAGACCUUGCGCUGAUUGAGCGGCCGAUAUCAGAUUAGCUAGUUGGUGAGGUAAAGGCUCACCA
rnacentral:rRNA from 1 species